CUUUUAAAAACCAAUGAAAACAAUUUCCAGGACCCCCAGGUAGAGGUCUUAAGAGCCUGAUUACAUUCUGGAGAUAGUCACCUUCCUAACAGGUUUCCCAAAC